UCUCGGCUUAUCACCGGCAGUCCCCCUAGAGUGCCCAACUGAAUGAUGGCAACUAAGGGCGAGGGUUGCGCUCGUUGCGGGACUUAACCCAACAUCUCACGACACGAGCUGACGACAGCCAUGCAGCACCUCUAUGACGGUCCCCGAAGGGAAGGCCCUAUUUCUAGGGUUGUCCACCACAGUUCAAGCCCAGGUAAGGUUCUGCGCGCUGCAUCGAAUUAAUCCACAUAAUCCACCGCUUGUGCGGGUCCCCGUCAAUUCCUUUGAGUUUUAACCUUGCGGCCGUACUCCCCAGGCGGUCAACUUCACGCGUUAGCUUCGUUACCAAGGAAUUGCUUCCCCGACAACCAGUUGACAUAGUUUAGGGCGUGGACUAC
rnacentral:misc_RNA from 1 species